CUCAUCAUCACACAUCAAUUCAAGCAACAAGCAAAAUGUACUCAAUCCUUUAUUAGAUUCAGAAACUCAACAAUGAAACAAAUCUCCGCUGGAUUUUUAUAUGGAAUUAGAACAAAUGUGACCAUGUUUUGGGUUUUUGGUGGCACUGAGGUGUUUAAGUGAUGAACACGGGUCGGAGAUGGUGACGGAGGCAUGAAACCCCACCGGGCUGCAUAGAUGAGAUACAAACAGGAACAGAGGGACAGAAAAAAAAAAGAACCAAAUAAAGAAAGAGGAAAAAAACAACAACCCCUCAAUGCUUCAAAGUGCGAUCCUGACUCGCAUUCGGGAAGCGUGUCCCUCCCAACACAAACAAAUCAUGGAACAGAACUGCAGGACAAAGUCUAGUAUGAGUAACGCACACACACACACACACACACACACACACACUACUCCGACCUCGCACACACAAACAUGAACUUUGUUACACGGUGGUCUCUCAUAAACAUAUCAUAUGCUAACAAUUUCUCAUACUUUUUUGUCUUUUUAAAAUUUAUUUUAUUAUUAUUUUGAGGACCCACAUAUACUCACUCACGCAAUAGUUAAAAGCAAAAAAGAAAAUAAAACUUAGUUGCACACUUCUUUUUUUUUUUGUUUUUAAAGUUUUUAAAACUUGUUUCGCAGUUUAAAGCAAAGCAAAUUAGGGACCGUGAUGUCCGAUUACUAGAAUAUUAUCAUUAGCCUCGACGACCUCAUGCAUCUUUUAUUCGUUUCAAUUCCUCUUUCCCCACCGACCUCGUUUGUCUUUUUCGCAGAUGUCGGGUGUUGUCUAGGCUGAAAUAACUAAUCAUAAAUUAAUAAUAAUGCUGCUUGUUUAAUUUUAUCUCCGUGUUUUCAAUUAAAAAAAAAAAAAAAAAAAAAAAAAAAAAAAAGUGUACCACCUCUGGAAGUGUAUUAGAAAAAUAUAUCAGCAUCAUGUCUGCGGAAUUAAAUCCGUUUUACUAAAUCAAGUGUUAAAUAUGGGUUGAAUAAUUGGUUUCCAUAUACUGUACUCAUUUCUCAUUUUUUUCCAACUCCCAAAAACAAACAAACAAAAUAAAAGGAAAAGCAAUGUGUGCUUCAUCCACUGUGUGCAUUACACUAUUGCAGCCACCAGGAGGCGCAAUCAGAAACUAAAACAGCAAAAAUGCAGGUUACAGGAUGUUCCAGAAAUCAGAGCAGCCAAAGAGCUCACAUUCAACGCUUCAAUGACAAAAUUAGAUACAUUUCUAGAUACAGUUCUUCACUUUGAACAAUGAACAGCUGUUUUGAAUUGAACAGAGCCGUUUGGCCCAAUGUGUUUACUAAAAACACGCCAAGAAACUGAAGCUGCACCAAUCCAAUCCAGAGUAAUCGGGCUGAAAUUCUGGCUCAGUAUCAGACUAAACAUUUUUAACAGAACCAUUAAUUAAAAUAAUUAAAAAAAAAAAAAAAAAAAAAAAAAAAAUUUGUUUUCCACUGGAAACGCAAAAUGAUAUUCUAUAUAAAAACACGUCUAAACUGUAGCUGGUCUGCAAUUUAUUUAUUACAAAAGAAGAAAUUUUUUUUUUGAUUUAUGAAGUAAAUAUAGAAAUAUUAAUUCACCUUGUAAGUUUUAUUUAAAAAAAAAAAAAAAAAAAAAAAAAAAAAAAAAAAAAAAGGAUUUGUUUUCUCGCAUAUUUUCCGUAUUUGUGAAUAAGGAAGAAUCUUCAGUAAAUGUCACACCUUCAAAACGGUAAAACACAAUCAUAAAUAAAAAAUAAACGACAAAACUGCUGGUGUGAGAAAGUGACAGGCUACAAUUACAGGGCUUUCGGACUUUUGUCAUUACUGUUAUGGUUAGGUUAGCUUAGUAAAGGAGUGACACUAGUGUGACCCCCCCCCCCCCCCACACACACACCAAUCAGACAGUACGACUCUAGAGUGUGAGCUAGAG
ensembl:lncRNA